AAGCCUUACCGAUCUCCUCGGGGAGGUGUCGUAUAAUGAAAUAUAAAACAGAAGCCUUACCGAUCUCCUCGGGGAGGUGUCGUAUAAUGAAAUAUAAAACAGAAGCCUUACCGAUCUCCUAGGGGGAGGUGUCGUAUAAUGAAAUAUAAAACAGAAGCCUUACCGAUCUCCUCGGGGAGGUGUCGUAUAAUGAAAUAUAAAACAGAAGCCUUACCGAUCUCCUCGGGGAGGUGUCGUAUAAUGAAAUAUAAAACAGAAGCCUUACCGAUCUCCUCGGGGAGGUGUUGUAUAAUGAAAUAUAAAACAGAAGCCUUACCGAUCUCCUAGGGGGAGGUGUUGUAUAAUGAAAUAUAAAAC